GCUUAUCAGAUCUUUGAUGUGUUGAACAAAGUUGGAAAGGAACAUGAUUUUUCAGCUGGUCUUGUUAUUGGUGGAACGGAUUUAGAAUUUGAAUGGAGCGAAUUAGGACAUGCAACAUUAUGAUUUGUACGCCUGGCCGUCUUGUACAGCAUAUGACUGAAAAUCCAGAUUUUGUUAUUGAAAAUGUUCAGAUCCUUGUUCUUGAUGAAGCAGAUAUGUGCCUGUCAAUGGGGUUUGCAGAUUCUGUGAAUUGUAUACUUGAGGA